rnacentral:sRNA from 1 species
UAUACCAUAAAUCCCAAAACCUAAAAUCUUAUCCCUAAACCCGAAAACCCUAAAACCUAAACCCUAAACCCUAAACCCUAAACUCUUAACCCUAAACCCUUAAACCUAAACCCUAAACUCUUAAACCUAAACCCUAAACCUUAAACCAUAGAUCCCAAACUUUAAAACCUAAGUCCUACUUUAGGCUUCCGGAAUCCGGUUGCGGUUCUAGUUUUUAUGCUCAAUGAUACACAAAGCAUCUAGUCAUAUUUGACUACAAAUCCGCUAACCAAGCUUAUUCUUGA